GCUGAUAGAUAUCACGAUGCUGCGCCAGAAACAGCGUCAUCUGCUCCAGUAUCACGCCUGUGCAUCUGUUGUCAUGCGACAGAGAAGUCGCAUCUAUGGACAGUUGUGAACGCGCUGACAGCUGGUUGCCCAGGCUUUGGAUUAAAGGUAAUACUGUUGUAAGUAAAGGCCCUGCUCACCCUGAAGGCCCACCACUGCUGUCAGACAACAUCUCCAAGAUGAUAUAAACUGCCGGACUAGAUAGCCAUCCCAAGGUUACUAGAGAUUACACCAGCUCCAAACUGAAUCCAAACUCACUUGUGAAGACUUCAGAUGACGCCAACGCUCACAAAGACUACAGACGACGACAACUGUACAUGAACACACAAAACAUUGGACACACAAAACAAAUAUCCUUAUUUUGCCUAUAAGGGUAAAUUUGAUGAUUUUCAACCUGCUUUAUUGCAAUGUCUCUUAUAUCUGUAAAUGAACAAUAUUUACUCUCUGAGUUAUGUGGACCUACAUCUCCCCUUUUAUUUGUUAGCAGCACUCUGCAGGAUGAUGCAAAAUGAAAUGAGAAGUUUUGCGGAAAUGACACAAUGCAGUAUCUAAAUGAAAACAUGCUGUUUUGCAUCUGUUUUGCUGGCAAAUAAACGGUAUCUUGGAGAAAGAAUAAACAUUGUUCUUUUACAAAUGUUACCAUUGUAACAAUGUAAAAUGGAUUGAAUAUUUUUUUACUUACCCUUUAAAAAUUUUGAAAGACAAUGUUAAUGUUAACUGAACACAAAACUAGAGACUUGUUUAGUAAGAUUUUAUCAGAAAAUAUUUUAGAAUUUUUAUCAUGCAAUUUAACAUUUUAAUUGCUUAAUUAUUGUUUGGUUUUAUUUCGUGUUAAUGUAACUUUUUAAAAAGUUUUUGGCAUAAAGUUAGCCUGCGAUGCUGACAGUACUGAACACAUGACUUUUUAUUAUGAACUAGAACAUGCUCUUCCCCAGUCAGUCUCAGUCACCUCUAGCUUUUUAAACUGUAACCUUGAAACAUGCCUUUUCUGUAAACCUACUUUGAAAUAAGUAUUGUGAAAACAGUGCUAUACUCAUACAACAUUUAACCAUGCAAGUACUGUAGUAAUAGUUAUUUUUGUUUUUACUAUGGUUUUACUGCAAAAGCUGUAGUAAAAUCAUGGUUAAUUUUCAAAAGACUACAAAUAAUCCAGAAUUAUCCACUUUUGAUCAAAGCAUCUGGUAAAUGUUAAUGUAUUUGUACAUGUAAUAUGAAAUAAAUGAAAAUAUUAAUAAAGUGGCAUCGGUUCUUGA